GGUCGUAUAGUGUAGCGGUUAUCACAUCGGAUUCUGAUCUUGUCAAGAUUUCCGAUAACCCCGGUUCGAUUCCGGGUAUGACCU